AAUCUAUUGUACUGCUGCCAAUUGUAGGAACGGCUUUGGACCAGGAAACGUAAUGUUUAGUUAUCCGAAGGACCCGGUUUUGCGUCAAAUAUGGAACCGUUUGUCAACAACUUUUAAAUUAAAGAAAGAAAAAGUUUUUUGUUUAAAUUGUGAUCUGAAUCCCAGGUCAUGGAAAACCAGAAGCGUGCUAAGUGGACAUGCGUUGUUUUCAUAUGUCCCUUUCAGGCCUCCAUAUCCGUGUUUCUGAUGAAUUCCAAAGAUGGCUGUAUGACGGCUGGGCGCGGUCAGAGUUGACCAACAGCCCAACUACUACCUCUUGAUGCUUCACUACUUCACAUCCUUCAUCCUGAUGAGCUUCAUUCUGCUGGAUAUGUUCAACAGGGUGAUGGUAGACACCUUUUACAAAUGUCAGCGAGAGCAGAGACAAUCCAAAGAAACUGAGAGUGACCCGGACAGUGACUAUUUCCUCAACUAUUCCUGGCUUGCUGCUGAUGGAUGCAGAGCACUAUGAACAGUCCAAGUCUGUGCGACAGUUUUUAGACUUGGACUUCUACAUCAUCACCCUCGUGCUGGUCCUUCAAGUCGUGCUGAAGAACAUCACCUUUGGCUUAGUGAGGUUCCUGAAAGUCGGAUGGAACGUUCUGGACAUAUUUAUUGUCCUGAUUUCUAUCAUGAGCAUAGUUUUAACUCAGCUCAAACUCUCCAACAACAUCCCAUCAAAUCCAGCACCACCCGUGUGAUGAGAGUCCUCAGACUUUCACAGGGUAAAAAACGCACUCUGAAGGGAAAUGUCUGUCGUUAGAAAGGAACCACAAGUCGACCCAGCUGUUCAGUUCAGAUGAAGUUUCUGAUUAAAACCAUCAUCAGGACCUUGUCCCAGAGAUGUGGAAACUGGUGUCCAUACUCCUGGGCAUCCUUGCCAUGCUGGGAAACGUCCUCAUCCUCUCUGUCUUCGUCAUCUACAUCUUGGGCCUGGUGGGGGUCCAGCUGUGGGUGGGAGACCUGCGCUACCAAUGCUUCCUGGGAGAGGACAUUGCAGCGCUGUAUUACAGGAGCCUGAGUCCGUACUAUGUGUCCUCGCCUGGCGAGAGAGCUUCUUUCAUCUGUUCUGUCGAGAAGACUGAUAGCGGCAAUGCUGGGACAUACCUCCUCUCUGUGAAGGGAGGAACACCUGUCUGCCGGCUGCUCCACAGCAGAAGUCCACAGGUCCCCUGGGGGCCAAUGUUAGCGGUGGUGUUAACUGGAAUGCGUACUACAAUGUGUGUCGUUCCAGGGGACAAAACCCGAACUUCGGCUCCAUCAAUUUUGGCAACAUCGGCUAUGCCUGGAUUACCGCUUUCCAGCUUGGCUCCUUCGUGAUGAUGAACACGUGUGCAGUCGUUAUUGCCGCCCACUACUCAAGAGGCCACGGCAGGCUAUGCCGGGGAGCCGCUCCCCGGUACUCUGAGCCUCAACGGACUCUGGACCACGCUGAGAAACUGGCUUGAGCAGCUCUACAGCAGGUCAGAUACUAGCAAAUAAAUUAAUUUAUAAAAGAACGAAUAUUUAAAAACUGCAAUCCAUAUCUUCAACUGCUAAAGGAGACACAACUCCAUAAACAAACAACAA